rnacentral:lncRNA from 1 species
AAGUGCCAUAACCACCGAGUCAGUUGCGCCUGCUGGUCACCACCUUGGCCUUGCCCCUCGCGGCUAUAUAGCUUGGUACCCCAUUCAUCUCAUGGGUGUCAGUCGCCGCGGUGAUACCAGGGAGAGAAAGAGUUGUCGGGCGAGAUCGAUGCCGGCGCACCCACAUCAUGUGUCCGCCAUGGAUCGGUGUCCGAGGAAUAGUCACGGAGGUUCACCUACGAUUGUGGAGUGCAUUCAGGCAAGCCCUCGGACGCGAUGGUCACCGGAGCUUGACAAAUCGCUCGCCGGAGCGAGGAAACCACUGUCGGGCCGCUCCAUCGCGUCGCCAGCAUUACUUGGGCAACAAUCGCCGGUAAGGAAGCCGCCAUCAAGUUCGCCUCUCCCUCCUCUUUAUGAAUCUUAGGAUUAGUUGGGGGAUAGGGCACCGGGACACCGGAUCAUUGAACUCCUGCGAACGUGCCACCGUGGGAGCUUCGCUCCGCCGCGUGGGUGUGCCUAAUGGCAUGGGGCGUGGUAGUCAUCAGAUACCGGAUGAACGCACAUGAUUAAGCCAUCAAAUAACCUUUCGGUUGGAUGAAUCUUCACCGUUGGAUCAAGAUCUGGUAAUCAAGAAAGCAUAUCGGUUCAGCAUUUAAUCUGGACCGUUCACGUGACCAUGAGCGGACUUGAUUAAAAGGUUAGCAUACCCCUUCAGUCUUCUAACCUGAGCCUUGAAUUUAGAUCCAACGGCCAGAUCAUGCCCAUGUAUAAGUCGUCGCGACAACUUUACAAAUGAGACCCUAGAAAAUAGUGAAACUAACCCACAGUCCAUGUAAAUGUAAAGAUUAAUACAUUUAGGCCCUAGAUUUAAUAAAUUUAACCCUGAACUAUACAGUAAUGGGCGCAGCCGUCCAUGGAUUUGUUAGUUUGGAUAAAAUAAAUCUGGAAAUGAUUUCUAGUACAAAAAUAAAUCCCAGAAACUUGUUUUAAUCAUACCUCCUACAUUUUAGCUUCGAUUAAACUCGUUCAAGUUGCGUUAGCUUCGCAAUAAUAUUGCAUACGCUACAGUAACAUUAUUUUACCAAGUAACAUGUUUUCCAAAAUAGGUAUUCUGUUUAACCUAUGUUAGUAGAUUAACCUUUCUAAUCAAAGUUAAUCUGCCUAUAAUUAUAGGUUGACUAACAUAUGAUUCCUAAUUAAGUUAUAACUUAGAUUAAGCUUAAAUUCGUUAUUUCUUUAGAAUAUCUUUCUCACAUGAUAUAUAAUAAUCAACAUAGAACAUAGUUUUCCUGUUUAAUCACAUAAAUCUUCCGAAAACCAUAACUUUCUAAUCGUAACUCCGAUUCUAGUGGUUCUCGAACCUACGAUCUCGUAGCGACAAGUAGAAUAUUCCUACGAAGCUUGUUCUCAUGUUUGGUGUAAUGUUAUUUUUGUGUACUCCUUGUCUAUUUGUAUGUAUUGCUACGAGUAGCAGUGAGGUCACGAGAAACCCGAAGACCAACUUGGUGAAGUACAUGUAAUCGCAAGUAUAAGGAAAGUUAUGCCCUUGAUCACUCUCUUCUUUGCCUAAUAAUGUUCCAUGUUAAUCACUACGACAUGCUCAGGUUAUUUUAUGGGACCUAAUAGGUUUCACUAGUUUUGUUUACCUCACACCUUGCAAUCAAGUGAACUAUUGGGUAGAUUUUUUAUUUCUCUACCUGGUUUUGGGAUUAAUGUUAUAUCUGAUUUAUGAUCAUGAUCCAUUAAUACCAUUGGUUUAAUUAUUGUUCAUGAUAAGAUUAUUGUGUUAAUUGGAACAUGGAGCUUAACUUGAGAUAACAGUGCUACCACAAGGGUGGAAUGGGACGCCCUUGGCUAAGUAAUUAGGAAAGCUAGGGAGAGAUUACCUUACCCGAAAGGGGCAAGCGGGACGGCAUCGCUGCAGAGUAUAGGGAGGUUAUCGGGUCGAACUGUCUGUUAAGCUUUUCGGAUGAGGGAUUCCUAUGCUUCCUUCUUCCUAAAUCCAUAGCGGGUAUUCUCGAACUAGUGGAACUUUGGAAAGACCUCGUAGUGCUACCCUACCUCGUCUCCUCGGUAGAGAUGAAUGGGAAGUCGUGACCCCUUGGCAAAUGGGUAACACGACUUGUGGGUAAAGAUGUGCAACCUCUGUAGAGUAUAAAACUGCUAUAUCAUUCAUGCUCACGAUCAAGAGCGACUUAGGACUCUUGCACUAUUAACUUAUGGAAUUAAACUUAAUUUGUGAUAUGCAUUGCAUUGUGGGUUUUAUUACUAAUUGUGAUCUCUUAUUUAAUUGGGUUGGUAUUUACUUAUACUUAGUAACUACUAAUAAAACUUUGACCAACUUUAAAAGCAAUGCUGAGCUCUAACCAUCUUCUUUGGUAAGCCUUACACUUCACAUGAGUCCCCAAUGUAAGUGAGCUCAUGCACACUAUUCCCUACAACUUGUUGAGCGAUGAACGUAUGUGAGCUCACCCUUGAUGUACUCACAUCCCCCAGGUCAAGGAUAGGUACCACAAGAUAAGGAGGAUGAAGGAUGCCACGGUGAGUUCGUGAGAGGUCUAGUUCGUCGUCUCCCAAUCAACUAUGGUUGCAGAGGAUCGUUUUCUUCUUAUGAUGUAAUUAUUUAGCUAUUUUGUAUAGAACUCCUUUUAUAUAGUAAAGAUGUGACAUUCGUUUCUGUACCAUGAGUCAUCAUAUGUGUGAGACUUGAUCCUAGCACACAUUGGAGACGCACCCGGGUUUGCCCCUUAAAUCUGAGUGUGACAUUG